UUACCAUGCAGUCGACGAUGAAGCCCAGCUUGCUGGGUGGAUUAGUGGCGAACGGGUGAGUAACACGUGAGUAACCUGCCCUUGACUUUGGGAUAACCCCGGGAAACUGGGUCUAAUACCGGAUAGGAACGUCCACCGCAUGGUGGUUGUUGGAAAGAUUUAUCGGUCAUGGAUGGACUCGCGGCCUAUCAGCUUGUUGGGGAGGUAAUGGCUCACCAAGGCGACAACGGGUACCCGGCCUGAAAGGGUGACCGGCCACACUGGGACUGAGACACGGCCCAGACUCCUACGGGAGGCAGCAGUGGGGAAUAUUGCACAAUGGGCGAAAGCCUGAUGCAGCGACGCCGCGUGAGGGAUGACGGCCUUCGGGUUGUAAACCUCUUUCAGUAGGGAAGAAGCGAAAGUGACGGUACCUGCAGAAGAAGCACCGGCUAACUACGUGCCAGCAGCCGCGGUAAUACGUAGGGUGCGAGCGUUAUCCGGAAUUAUUGGGCGUAAAGAGCUCGUAGGCGGUUUGUCGCGUCUGUCGUGAAAGUCCGGGGCUUAACCCCGGAUCUGCGGUGGGUACGGGCAGACUAGAGUGCAGUAGGGGAGACUGGAAUUCCUGGUGUAGCGGUGGAAUGCGCAGAUAUCAGGAGGAACACCGAUGGCGAAGGCAGGUCUCUGGGCUGUAACUGACGCUGAGGAGCGAAAGCAUGGGGAGCGAACAGGAUUAGAUACCCUGGUAGUCCAUGCCGUAAACGUUGGGCACUAGGUGUGGGGACCAUUCCACGGUUUCCGCGCCGCAGCUAACGCAUUAAGUGCCCCGCCUGGGGAGUACGGCCGCAAGGCUAAAACUCA
rnacentral:rRNA from 1 species